CUACGGGGGGCUGCAGUGAGGAAUAUUGCACAAUGGGGGGAACCCUGAUGCAGCAACGCCGCGUGGAGGAUGACGCAUUUCGGUGUGUAAACUCCUUUUAUAUGUCAAGAAAAUGACGGUAGCAUAUGAAUAAGCACCGGCUAACUCCGUGCCAGCAGCCGCGGUAAUACGGAGGGUGCAAGCGUUACUCGGAAUCACUGGGCGUAAAGGACGCGUAGGCGGGUUGGAAAGUCAGGUGUGAAAUCCUACAGCUUAACUGUAGAACUGCACUUGAAACUUCUAAUCUAGAGUAUGGGAGGGGGAGAUGGAGUUAGUGGUGUAGGGGUAAAAUCCGUAGAUAUCACUAGGAAUACCUAAAGCGAAGGCGAUCUCCUGGAACAUUACUGACGCUAAGGCGUGAAAGCGUGGGGAGCAAACAGGAUUAAUACCCGAGUAGUC
rnacentral:rRNA from 1 species